rfam:Salmo salar isolate Sally breed double haploid chromosome ssa17, whole genome shotgun sequence.
GAAAAUGGUAUUUGUAAGUCGCUCUGGAUAAGAGCGUCUGCUAAAUGACUUAAA